rnacentral:lncRNA from 1 species
AACCCAUCCACUCUUCUUCGGAGGCAACUGAGAACACAUAAAGCAAGCAGCUACCUAGCAUCCCCCUCCUAAAGCUUUAGACUCAGAGCCCAGGGUCCCCCACAAGCCUCAAGGUAGCCUCAGGUUUCUCUAAUUUCCUCCACUCCCAGUUCGAAGCAAACAGCUUACUGCCUAGUCCCCGCCAAUCCCAAGGGCGGGCUGGCUGAUGGCAGCAUGGUGGGCUGGCCUGGGUGUGGAGUGAAAGAGUCACUGUGGUGGGGGCGAGAGGAGGACUUGGGAGCUGGAGGUGUGACACCUUCAGUUCUGUUCCUAUUAAAGGACCUUCUGAAGGGCUUCUCUGUC